AACGAACGCUGGCGGCAUGCUUUAUACAUGCAAGUCGAACGCGAAAGUGUCUUCGGACAUUAGUAGAGUGGCAAACGGGUGAGUAACGCGUGGGAAUAUACCUUAUAGUACGGAAUAGCCUCGGGAAACUGGGAUUAAUACCGUAUACGCCCUGAGGGGGAAAGAUUUAUCGCUAUAAGAUUAGCCCGCGUCAGAUUAGCUAGUUGGUGGGGUAAUGGCCUACCAAGGCAACGAUCUGUAGCUGGUCUGAGAGGAUGAUCAGCCACAUUGGGACUGAGAUACGGCCCAAACUCCUACGGGAGGCAGCAGUAGGGAAUAUUGGACAAUGGACGAAAGUCUGAUCCAGCAAUGCCGCGUGAGUGAAGAAGGCCUUCGGGUUGUAAAGCACCUUUGUCCGGAAAGAAAUGGCUCUGGUUAAUACCUGGGGUCGAUGACGGUACCGGAAGAAUAAGGACCGGCUAACUACGUGCCAGCAGCCGCCGCGG
rnacentral:rRNA from 1 species